CUACAUUACAUAUAUACCAAUAUCUAGAUUCCCCAAAAUGUUUAAAUGGCAUUCUAUAUAGUAAAAAUCGACGACAUUUUUGCGCAAUCCUAACUUAAAUUGCAGAGGCCGGUUGUAUAAAACUCUUAAUCACUUUUUUAAUCACCAUUUUGUAGUUAAGUGGUGAUUAACUCUCAAAUACGCGCUUCUUAUUGGAUGACAUUUCCACUAAGUAUAGUUAACUUUAAUCACUUUUUUUAUACAACCGGCCCCAGGUAAGUUACAGGAUCUAUCUGCAUGUUUUCUAGAAAGAGUGUAAUUAUUUCACAAAACAGAAUCCAAUGUGCCAACAAAAAACUUGAAAGACGUCACGAAGUUCGACAGUUCUCGCAACAGUUCUCAGCGAUGGAUAUUACUUUUAUUGACUGGUGAAUGAUAAAAUCGUUGAGUUUAUAAAGUAAAAUUAUAACCUCAAAUUCAAAUUGUCCAAUCAGAAAGCUAAGUUUGUGUCACGUGAGCCUGAAAUUUACCAUCGAUUCGCGCCAUACGUCAUCUAUUUGACGUAAGCGGGAGACUUGAAUCACAUCACAUGGCGAUUUGAUCAUGUCACCCGGGUGAAAUGAUUCACGUAAACCACGGGGGGCGAACAC